rnacentral:rRNA from 1 species
GUGGGGAAUAUUGGACAAUGGGCGAAAGCCUGAUCCAGCCAUGCCGCGUGUGUGAAGAAGGUCUUCGGAUUGUAAAGCACUUUAAGUUGGGAGGAAGGGCAGUAAGUUAAUACCUUGCUGUUUUGACGUUACCGACAGAAUAAGCACCGGCUAACUUCGUGCCAGCAGCCGCGGUAAUACGAAGGGUGCAAGCGUUAAUCGGAAUUACUGGGCGUAAAGCGCGCGUAGGUGGGUUUGUAAGUUGGAGGUGAAAUCCCCGGGCUCAACCUGGGAACUGCCUCCAAAACUGCAUGACUAGAGUACGGUAGAGGGUAGUGGAAUUUCCUGUGUAGCGGUGAAAUGCGUAGAUAUAGGAAGGAACACCAGUGGCGAAGGCGACUACCUGGACUGAUACUGACACUGAGGUGCGAAAGCGUGGGGAGCAAACAGGAUUAGAAACCCUGGUAGUCU